CUACGGGUUGCACCAGUGAGGAAUAUUGCACAAUGGGGGGAACCCUGAUGCAGCAACGCCGCGUGGAGGAUGACGCAUUUCGGUGUGUAAACUCCUUUUAUAUGUCAAGAAAAUGACGGUAGCAUAUGAAUAAGCACCGGCUAACUCCGUGCCAGCAGCCGCGAUAAUACGGAGGGUGCAAGCGUUACUCGGAAUCACUGGGCGUAAAGGACGCGUAGGCGGGUUGGAAAGUCGGGUGUGAAAUCCUACAGCUUAACUGUAGAACUGCACUUGAAACUUCUAAUCUAGAGUAUGGGAGGGGGAGAUGGAAUUAGUGGUGUAGGGGUAAAAUCCGUAGAUAUCACUAGGAAUACCUAAAGCGAAGGCGAUCUCCUGGAACAUUACUGACGCUAAGGCGUGAAAGCGUGGGGAGCAAACAGGAUUAGAUACCCCUGUAGUC
rnacentral:rRNA from 1 species